rnacentral:rRNA from 1 species
GCGGGGAAUAUUGGGCAAUGGGCGAAAGCCUGACCCAGCAACGCCGCGUGAGGGAAGAAGGUUUUCGGAUUGUAAACCUCUGUCCUUGGGGACGAAAAAAAUGACGGUACCCAAGGAGGAAGCCCCGGCUAACUACGUGCCAGCAGCCGCGGUAAUACGUAGGGGGCGAGCGUUGUCCGGAAUUACUGGGCGUAAAGGGUGCGUAGGCGGUUCUUUAAGUCAGAUGUGAAAUCCCCGGGCUUAACUCGGGUGGUGCAUUUGAAACUGGGAGGCUAGAGUGCAGGAGAGGGAAGCGGAAUUCCUAGUGUAGCGGUGAAAUGCGUAGAUAUUAGGAGGAACACCAGUGGCGAAGGCGGCUUUCUGGACUGUAACUGACGCUGAGGCACGAAAGCGUGGGGAGCAAACAG